rnacentral:lncRNA from 1 species
AGAAUAUUGUGUAAUACAAGAUUUCAUAGACUAAAUAUUAGUCUAUCCCAACUUCCAACACUGCAUUAUCAUCUUGUCAAUCAGGCGUUCCUGGUGAUUUACCGGUGGUGUUCACCGGUGGGGUGGUGAUCGAGUUGACCGGUGGAUCGGUGUUGAAAGCAAAUGCUGAUAUUGACAGAAACUGAACUCCCACAAUGCACUGGUACACCAUUCAGUGAGGCCUCAUGGACAAGGUAACGACAGUCAGUCCUCCUGAAGAGGAAGAUCUAACACAUCCUACCACAGAAAUGUAUGUCUUUUCUCUCCAUUAGCUGCAGCCUCUGAACCACAAGCUAUCUGUAACACGGCAAUUGCGCAUGUAAGUUUAAGCCAAGUAACAUUAAUCCCCGCCAUAAUAUGCACAGAGUUUCCCCUUCCAUUCAACACAUUGUUUGUCUGAAGGUGGGGCAAGUUUGCGUGCAAGGCCAACAAAAUGAUAGCCUCGUCACAUAACGAAAUCCCUCGUUAACAACAUGCAAAAGCGACAAU